rnacentral:rRNA from 1 species
UACGUAGGGUGCGAGCGUUGUCCGGAAUUAUUGGGCGUAAAGGGCUCGUAGGCGGUUUGUCGCGUCGGGAGUGAAAACCAGGUGCUUAACGCCUGGCUUGCUUUCGAUACGGGCAGACUAGAGGUAUUCAGGGGAGAACGGAAUUCCUGGUGUAGCGGUGAAAUGCGCAGAUAUCAGGAGGAACACCGGUGGCGAAGGCGGUUCUCUGGGAAUGACCUGACGCUGAGGAGCGAAAGUGUGGGGAGCGAACAGG